GAGGGUAGAGCUCAGCAGCAGAGUGAGUGCUUAGCAUGCAUGAAGUCCUGGGUUCAAUCCCCAGUACCUCUU
rnacentral:tRNA from 1 species